UACGUAGGGUGCGAGCGUUAAUCGGAAUUACUGGCGUAAAGCGUGCGCAGGCGGUGAUGUAAGACCGAUGUGAAAUCCCCGGGCUUAACCUGGGAACUGCAUUGGUGACUGCAUUGCUGGAGUGCGGCAGAGGGGAUGGAAUUCCGCGUGUAGCAGUGAAAUGCGUAGAUAUGCGGAGGAACACCGAUGGCGAAGGCAAUCCCCUGGGCCUGCACUGACGCUCAUGCACGAAAGCGUGGGA
rnacentral:rRNA from 1 species